UAGACUUCAGAAAUCUUUCAUGAAAAUAUCCUGUCUUUACAUAAGCAUCCUCUAUGCUUUAUAUUUUGGGGCCAUUGCCUCCGCCACUAUUUUCUAACAUCACCGAGGGAAAAAAGACCCCUGAUCCCCUAAGUCUUCUUUCUCUAAUUUCAGGUGGACCCAAGAACAAAGGAAAACUAUGUGUUUUCUGGGAUUGCUCCCUCGCUGAGGAAAAAUCUAAGUGAGGAGAAAGUGAGACACUCUUGGUUGCUUCUGUCUGGACAGCCACCCUGGUUCCAGCUUCCUGCUGGAGACAAGGACUGGGGGUGUGGUGCAAGAAACAGAUGGUCUACUGAAUAACUGAAUGUCAGAGGCUUGUGGGAGUGUGAGCGGAAGCUGAUCCAUGGAAGGGAAGACUGGGAGGAGAAAUACCACGGGACCGCUGUGAUAUUGAUCUGCAAAUGGUAGGUGGUCUGCAGCUAGACAGCCAAAGGCUCUGUUUCUCAUGUCUUGCUUGUUCCUCCCGUGUGCCUUUCCCCUUAUCCCAUGUCUACAUCAAGCAAUGCCUCCGAAUAGCUCAUGACCAACACCUGCAAGGUACUGACAGUCACUCUGUGCCACCUAGCUCCAACUGGGGACCCGUAGGCAAGCUUGCUGAUACCAGAGCAGAAGGGGACAUGCCAUCACAUAGCAAAGUGAAACCACCUGUCUGUUGGAACUGGAAUUUUGCUGUUUUGACUUUAUUUUCACAAGUGAAAUUAAAUGCAAAAAUCUCAACAUGGAUAUUACAGCUGUCUUAUACAUCUUCCUUGGUGGGGGAAAUUUCUACUGAGAGUAUAUUACCAGCUGAGACCUGAUUCCAGACAUCAUUUGAAAAGAAAAAU